UCUGGGUCCAACCUCCCACCCGUGUUUAUCGUACCUUGUUGCUUCGGCGGGCCCGCCGCAAGGCCGCCGGGGGGCAUCUGCCCUCUGGCCCGCGCCCGCCGAAGACACCAUUGAACGCUGUCUGAAGAUUGCAGUCUGAGCAAUUAGUUAAAUAACUUAAAACUUUCAACAACGGAUCUCUUGGUUCCGGCAUCGAUGAAGAACGCAGCGAAAUGCGAUACGUAAUGUGAAUUGCAGAAUUCAGUGAAUCAUCGAGUCUUUGAACGCACAUUGCGCCCCCUGGUAUUCCGGGGGGCAUGCCUGUCCGAGCGUCAUUGCUGCCCUCAAGCACGGCUUGUGUGUUGGGCUCCGUCCUCCUUCCGGGGGACGGGCCCGAAAGGCAGCGGCGGCACCGCGUCCGGUCCUCGAGCGUAUGGGGCUUCGUCACCCGCUCUGCAGGCCCGGCCGGCGCUUGCCGACACAUCAAUCUUUUUUCCAGGUUGACCUCGGAUCAGGUAGGGAUACCCGCUGAACUUAAGCAUAUCAAUAAGCGGAGGAA
rnacentral:rRNA from 1 species